GUGAGGAAUAUUGGUCAAUGGACGAGAGUCUGAACCAGCCAAGUAGCGUGAAGGAUGAAGGUCCUACGGAUUGUAAACUUCUUUUAUAAGGGAAUAAACCCUCCCACGUGUGGGAGCUUGUAUGUACCUUAUGAAUAAGCAUCGGCUAACUCCGUGCCAGCAGCCGCGGUAAUACGGAGGAUGCGAGCGUUAUCCGGAUUUAUUGGGUUUAAAGGGAGCGCAGACGGGUCGUUAAGUCAGCUGUGAAAGUUUGGGGCUCAACCUUAAAAUUGCAGUUGAUACUGGCGUCCUUGAGUGCGGUUGAGGUGUGCGGAAUUCGUGGUGUAGCGGUGAAAUGAUUAGAUAUCACGAAGAACUCCGAUUGCGAAGGCAGCGCACUAAUCCGUAACUGACGUUCAUGCUCGAAAGUGUGGGUAUCAAACAGGAUUAGAAACCCUAGUAGUCC
rnacentral:rRNA from 1 species